UGAAUGCUGGAGCCAUAUUUACUGCCUGUGGAUUUGCGGUGGAGCGGCUUGACCAGAACUCACGGAAAUACAGGGAGAAAUGGAAUUGACUUUAAAUAAGUUCAUUCAAGAUGAGAACAGAGCUGGCAGAAUUCAAGCAGAGAAUAUAGCUUCAUUCUUCAACCAGAAAAAUAGAGGUUGUUAAGACAUUCUCCAGGACAACACACUCUAAAUUUCUUACUAAGCACUUCCAACAGAACAAACUUUCUUAAACUCUCUGAGAACGAACUAUCUGCAAGAGAUGCUCUCAGCAUGCCGCCACUCAUAUGUCUUUGCUGAAAGACCACACCCAUGUCUUAGUUUCCCAUGGCGUACAUCCACAAAAUUCUCAAGA
rnacentral:lncRNA from 1 species